rnacentral:rRNA from 1 species
CAGUCGCCACGGGAAUACGGAGGGUGCGAGCGUUAAUCGGAAUAACUGGGCGUAAAGGGCACGCAGGCGGUGACUUAAGUGAGGUGUGAAAGCCCCGGGCUUAACCUGGGAAUUGCAUUUCAUACUGGGUCGCUAGAGUACUUUAGGGAGGGGUAGAAUUCCACGUGUAGCGGUGAAAUGCGUAGAGAUGUGGAGGAAUACCGAAGGCGAAGGCAGCCCCUUGGGAAUGUACUGACGCUCAUGUGCGAAAGCGUGGGGAGCAAACAGGAUUAGAUACCCCUGUAGUCCCUGUCUCUUAUAC